UACGUAGGUGGCAAGCGUUUGUCCGGAUUUACUGGGCGUAAAGAGCGCGCAGGCGGUCGUCCAAGUCGCGUGUGAAAGCCCCCCGGCUCAACUGGGGAGGGUCACGCGAUACUGGUCGACUCGAAGGCAGGAGAGGGUAGUGGAAUUCCCGGUGUAGUGGUGAAAUGCGUAGAUAUCGGGAGGAACACCAGUGGCGAAGGCGACUACCUGGCCUGUUCUUGACGCUGAGGCGCGAAAGCUAGGGGAGCAACGGG
rnacentral:rRNA from 1 species